rnacentral:rRNA from 1 species
AACAGGAUUAGAUACCCUGGUAGUCCACGCCGUAAACGAUGUCGACUUGGAGGUUGUGCCCUUGAGGCGUGGCUUCCGGAGCUAACGCGUUAAGUCGACCGCCUGGGGAGUACGGCCGCAAGGUUAAAACUCAAAUGAAUUGACGGGGGCCCGCACAAGCGGUGGAGCAUGUGGUUUAAUUCGAUGCAACGCGAAGAACCUUACCUGGUCUUGACAUCCACAGAACUUUCCAGAGAUGGAUUGGUGCCUUCGGGAACUGUGAGACAGGUGCUGCAUGGCUGUCGUCAGCUCGUGUUGUGAAAUGUUGGGUUAAGUCCCGCAACGAGCGCAACCCUUAUCCUUUGUUGCCAGCGGUCCGGCCGGGAACUCAAAGGAGACUGCCAGUGAUAAACCGGAGGAAGGUGGGGAUGACGUCAAGUCAUCAUGGCCCUUACGACCAGGGCUACACACGUGCUACAAUGGCGCAUACAAAGAGAAGCGACCUCGCGAGAGCAAGCGGACCUCAUAAAGUGCGUCGUAGUCCGGAUUGGAGUCUGCAACUCGACUCCAUGAAGUCGGAAUCGCUAGUAAUCGUGGAUCAGAAUGCCACGGUGAAUACGUUCCCGGGCCUUGUACACACCGCCCGUCACACCAUGGGAGUGGGUUGCAAAAGAAGUAGGUAGCUUAACCUUCGGGAGGGCGCUUACCACUUUGUGAUUCAUGACUGGGGUGAAGUCGUAACAAGGUAACC